GGUUGCGAUCAUACCAGCACUAAUGCAACGGAUCCCGUCAGAACUCCGCAGUUAAGCGUGCUUGGGCGAGAGUAGUACUAGGAUGGGUGACCCCCUGGGAAGUCCUUUUGUUGCAACCC
rnacentral:rRNA from 1 species